AAAAGUUGUUCUAAAAAACUUGGACAAAUCGUUUCCUUGCAUUAACAUUUCAUUUAAAGAGCUAAUCUAUUUAUAUUACUUACUGAUUAUUCUUUAUUCGUGGUUAUUUCACACAUAGGGCUACCCAAACAAGGUAAAUUUUUGCGUCGUCUUGCUAGAUUUAAUGAAGGAAUACAGAACAAAAAAUCUUUGAGCUUUAUAUUUAUUGUGUGAAUUGAAAGAGGAUGUUUGCUUGUGCUAGUAAAAACUUAGAAACAGCAAUGUAUUCUGCUCGUCCUUUUAAUAUUUUGCUAGUGUAAAGUGUCAGAGCAAUAUUCUCUUUUACUUAAUUUUCGUUUUGAGUUAACUUUCAACGUCCAAGAAUACCAAAUUGACUAGCAUAA